rnacentral:rRNA from 1 species
GCAAGUCGAGCGGUAGAUUGAUAACGGAAGCUUCGGUGGAAGAUAUUGAUUGAGAGCGGCGAACGGGUGAGUAACACGUUGGAAUCUGCCCCCAAGUCAGGGAUAGCCAUUGGAAACGAUGAUUAAUACCGGAUAGUCUCUUUGGAGUAAAAAUUUAUUGCUUGGGGAAGAGCCUGCGUCCUAUCAGCUAGUUGGUAGUGUAAAAGACUACCAAGGCAAUGACGGGUAGCCGGCCUGAGAGGGUGAAC